GACAGAGGUGCCGAGCGUUAGGCGGAAUCACUGGGUUUAAAGCGUGUGUAGGCGGGUCGUUAAGUGUCUUGUGAAAUCCCCCGGCUCAACCGGGGAAUGGCUGGGCAUACUGGCGAUCUUGAGCAGUCUAGGGGCAGAUGGAACAAGUGGUGGAGCGGUGAAAUGCGUAGAUAUCACUUGGAACGCCAACGGUGAAGACAGUCUGCUGGGGACUUGCUGACGCUGAGACACGAAAGCCAGGGGAGCGAACGGG
rnacentral:rRNA from 1 species